rnacentral:rRNA from 1 species
AUGCAAUUUCUAUCUGAAGAGGAAGCUUACUCCUUUUAUAACAAGUAUGCAAAAGCUAUCGGUUUUAGCAUCCGAAGAGGGAGUCAACAUAAAGUAAAGAAUUCUUCCGUCAUACAGCAACGGACAUUUACAUGCUCCCGUCAAGGAUUCCGAGCAGAAGAUAAGAGAGAGGAUUCGUUCAGUUACAGUAGGCCUGAAACACGAUGUGGUUGUGAAGGCCAUAUGAAGAUAAGUCUGAAAAGCGGAUUAUAUUAUGUCUACGAAUUUGAGGCUGCACACAACCAUAAUCUUGCCACUGGAGACAUGGCCUUAUAUUUAAGGUCCCAAAGGAAAGUGACGGAAGCACAAAUAGCAAACGCUGAGGUCGCAAAGUCUGUAGGCAUUUCGAAUAAAGCAACUAUUGAUCUUAUGGCCAAAGAAGCAUGUGGACUUCCAAAUCUUGGGUUUGCACCCGAGGAUAUGAAAAAUCGUUUGUACUCUAAGAGAACACUGCAAACAAAGAAAGGUGACACCGGGGGAGGGUUAGAAUACAUGGAGAAGAAGGUAAAAGAAGAUCCCAAUUUUUUCUAUUCAAUUCAAAUUGACAAGGAUGAUCUGAUAACUAAUAUAUUUUGGGCUGACUCAAAAAUGAUCUCAGACUAUGCAUUAUUUGGUGAUGUUAUAUGCUUUGACACCACAUAUAGGAAACUAGAUGAUGGGCGUCCAUUUGGUUUAAUUGUUGGGGUCAAUAAUCACAAGAAAACUACUGUCUUUGGUGCCACACUUCUCUAUGAUGAAACAGCUGAAAGUUUUGGUUGGCUUUUUAGAACAUUUCGAACAGCUAUGUCUGGGAAACAUCCAAGGACAAUCCUGACCGAUGAAGAUGCAGCAAUGGCCAAGGCAAUCAGUGUAGUCCUGCCUUGGUCUCAGCACAGACUUUGCGUGUGGCAUAUGAAUCAAAAUGCUUGCAAGCACCUUGCUGGGGUUGUUGAAGAAUAUAAGAAGUUCAAUGCUGAUUUUCAGCAUUGUAUAUAUGAUAUUGAGGAAGAAGACGAUUUUAUAAAUGAAUGGAAUAGAAUGCUGGACAGAUAUGGUCUACGUGACAAUACAUGGCUGCAAAGGCUGUUUGAGAAAAGGGAGCAAUGGGCACUAGUGUAUGGCAGAAAUACAUUCUCAGCCCACAUGAGCACUACCCAAAGAAGUGAAAGCAUGAAUAAUGAGCUGAAGCGGUACAUUAGUAUUAAAUAUGACAUGCUUACUUUCUUCGAGCAUUUUGAGCGGCUAGUUGCAGAUAAAAGAUUUGUAGAGGUGAAGUGUGACUUCAAGGCGUCACAAACUACUCCCAAGCUGAAGGCAGUAGAUAGCUAUGUAUUAAGGCAAGCUGCAACUACGUAUACUCCAGAAAUAUUCAAGAUGUUUGAGGAGCAAGUGCUUCGGACCCUCAACUAUGACACAUUUCUUUGUGAUGAUAGUGACAAAGAGCAGAAGGUUUAUACAGUAAAAUUUCAUGGCACACAACGUGAGCAUGUUGUCCGAUUUGACCCGAACAAAGAGAAAGUCAAUUGUAGUUGCAAGAAAUUUGAAUUUGCUGGAAUCCUCUGCUCUCAUUGCUUAAAGAUACUUGAUAUUAAUAAUAUCAAGUAUGUAUUGAAUAGAUGGACAAUUGAUGCCAAAGUGCUAGAGAUAACAAGCAAUCGCAAUCUGCAAGAGGAUUUAAAAGCAAGAAUGUCUAACUUCUACAAAGACUUGUGCAGAAUGUUUAUCCACAUAGCUGCUCGUGCCGCAGAGUCCGAUGAAACAUAUGACAUGGCUGCUAAAUGCGCAGAGCAGCUAGCACGAGAUGUGGAGAAAUGCUUGAAAAAUAGAACUGAUCCAGAUCCAAACCCAGAUGUGGGUAAUUCCUCUGUUUCAGAAGGUCCGAACAUCGACUCUAGUAGAGUUUCAAAACAUAACGAGGGGCUAUGCAGGCCAAGAGGUAUGAAGGUCAAGGAGAAGACCGUACGAGGAUCAGCAAGACCCGUUGGUGCCUUGGAGAAAGCAAAAACAAAUAAGAAAAAGAAGACAGAUGAUUCUUUACAACUACAACCUGAAAUGCCUUUCACAAUUCAAAUGCCUAUGUAUAACCCAAUCUUAUUGGGUCAUUUGGGAGAAAAUAUUGGACCAGGAUCAGCAAGACCCGUUGGUGAGUUGGAGAAAGCAAAAAAAAAGAAGAAAAAGAAGACCGCCGAUUCUUUACAACUACAACCUGGAAUGCCUUUGACAAACCAAAUGCCGGGGUAUCUACCACAGUACAACCCAACCCAAAUGGGUCAUCUGGGAGCUCUGCCAAAUCAUCUAUACCCCUAUUUGGCACAAUAUGGUCCUACCAGUGGUACCUCUACCCCUACGAUGUUGCCAGGACAGAAUCCAUUCUUCCAACUACAGAAUCCUACUAGUGGUACCUUUAACCCUACGAUGAUGCCAGCACAAAAUCUAUCAUUAUUCCAACAACAGACUCCUACCAGUGGUACCUCUACCCCUACGAUGAUGCUAGGACAGAAUCUAUCAUCCUUCCAAGAAAAUAAUCUCACCAUCGGUGCCUUUACCCCUACGAUGAUGCUAGGACAAGAUCUACCAUUCUUCCAACAGAAGCCUGCUUAA